UACUACUUGAUAUCUUCUCACUAUCAGUAAUAGGUGUGGCAUAUAUAGCAAAAGAUGACCCUUUAUUUGCAAUAUGCAUGAAAGCUCUUGCACCUAUCAAUAAGAAUUUUGAUUUUUUAGACUUAUGGAUUUUUACUUCCUUAGUAAGACUUUGAACUAAACUAUAGAAAUUAUCAAGAUUACAAAAAUCCAUUCUAUUUGACGAUUAUACCUUUCUAACUACAAUAAUCUAAAAAAAAAUUGAUUAGAAGGAGAUUUAAUGACAUUAAAUAUUACUAAACUAUUAUCACCACUA
rnacentral:lncRNA from 1 species